rnacentral:rRNA from 1 species
AUGAUGAGGUUCACGGCAGCAAUGCGCGCCUCUCCAUUCAAGAAGAGCAAUAGUGUUAGUGGGGUCAUCCUGCCUGAAGGGGGAGGAGCUUGGCGCUUCCUCAACUUCGGCCCAGAGAUUGAUGAAGAGGCCAGAAGAGCUCCAAGGAAGAUAGCCAUGGUCCGCUACAACAGCAUCUCGGAGGAGGUGCUUGCGGACCCAAUGGUAAAGGCAGCCAUUGCCGCAGUCAGCGCCAUCAAGGUCGGUGAGGUUACUCCCAAGGGGCAUGCUGGCAAAGGGGGAAAGAUGGCUAUUGCAGUUCAGGAGGAACCGAGCCUCUCGAAGGACACAGAUGCAUCUGCGACUCACGCCAUGGGUGGGAGCAAGGAGGCCUUGGAGGAUAGGAAUUCAGGGGAGCCUGAAGAGCUCAGUUACCCCCUGGCUUCGGCCCGACCCCGCGCUUUGUGCGGGUUGGUGACCCGCUGGGCGCUAUCGCACAGAUACCCACUCCCCCACCACUCCUACAGGUCCAGGGGGCUGCUGAUGCACCUGUGCCGGCGACCCACAAGAUACCAGCGGCGGUAUAUAGCAGUUGCGAAAUCCCAGAAGGUACAGGGCAGAAGGAUGGGCGCGCGGAUGAGAGUGUGGAAGAGGUCACAGAGGGAAAUGCAGCAAAAGAACCAGUGGCAAAUGAAGGGUACAAGAGGAAGAAGGUAA